rnacentral:rRNA from 1 species
UACGGGGGGAGCAAGCGUUGUUCGGAUUUACUGGGCGUAAAGGGCGCGUAGGCGGCCACCGCAAGUCAGUUGUGAAAUCUCUGGGCUUAACCCAGAAAGGUCAACUGAUACUGCGGGGCUAGAGUGCAGAAGGGGCAACUGGAAUUCUCGGUGUAGCGGUGAAAUGCGUAGAUAUCGAGAGGAACACCUGCGGCGAAGGCGGGUUGCUGGGCUGACACUGACGCUGAUGCGCGAAAGCUAGGGGAGCAAACAGG